GCCGGGAUGGCGAAAUGGUAGACGCGGUGGUCUCAAAAGCCGCUUCUCUAACGAGAAUGCCGGUUCGAGUCCGGCUCCCGGCACCA
rnacentral:tRNA from 1 species